GCGGCAUGCCUAACACAUGCAAGUCGAACGGUAACAGAACUAGCUUGCUAGUUGCUGACGAGUGGCGGACGGGUGAGUAAUGUAUAGGAACUUGCCCAGUAGUGGGGGACAACAUGUGGAAACGCAUGCUAAUACCGCAUAAUCUCUACGGAGGAAAGCGGGGGCUCUUCGGACCUCGCGCUACUGGAUAGGCCUAUAUUGGAUUAGCUAGUUGGUAAGGUAAAGGCUUACCAAGGCGACGAUCCAUAGCUGGUUUGAGAGAAUGAUCAGCCACACUGGGACUGAGACACGGCCCAGACUCCUACGGGAGGCAGCAGUGGGGAAUAUUGCACAAUGGAGGAAACUCUGAUGCAGCAAUGCCGCGUGUGUGAAGAAGGCCUUAGGGUUGUAAAGCACUUUCAAUAGGGAGGAAAAGUUGUGUAUUAAUAAUGCAUAGCCGUGACGUUACCUAUAGAAGAAGGACCGGCUAACUCCGUGCCAGCAGCCGCGGUAAUACGGAGGGUCCGAGCGUUAAUCGGAAUUACUGGGCGUAAAGCGCGCGCAGGUGGUUAGACAAGUCAGAUGUGAAAGCCCCGGGCUCAACCUGGGAACUGCAUUUGAAACUGUCUGGCUAGAGUAUGGUAGAGGUGAGUGGAAUUUCAGGUGUAGCGGUGAAAUGCGUAGAGAUCUGAAGGAACAUCAGUGGCGAAGGCGACUCACUGGGCCAUUACUGACACUGAGGUGCGAAAGCGUGGGUAGCAAACAGGAUUAGAUACCCUGGUAGUCCACGCCCUAAACGAUGUCAACUAGGUGUAUGGGAG
rnacentral:rRNA from 1 species